UACAUGCAAGUCGAACGCACAGACGAAAGGUGCUUGCACCUUUCAAGUGAGUGGCGAACGGGUGAGUAACACGUGGAUAACCUACCUCAAGGUUGGGGAUAACAUUUGGAAACAGGUGCUAAUACCGAAUAAACUUCGUAUCGCAUGAUACAAGGUUAAAAGGCGCUACGGCGUCACCUAGAGAUGGAUCCGCGGUGCAUUAGUUAGUUGGUGGGGUAAAGGCCCACCAAGACAAUGAUGCAUAGCCGAGUUGAGAGACUGAUCGGCCACAUUGGGACUGAGACACGGCCCAAACUCCUACGGGAGGCUGCAGUAGGGAAUCUUCCACAAUUGGGCGAAAGCCUGAUGGAGCAACGCCGCGUGUGUGAUGAAGGCUUUCGGGUCGUAAAGCACUGUUGUAUGGGAAGAACAGCUAGAGUAGGGAAUGACUUUAGUUUGACGGUACCAUACCAGAAAGGGACGGCUAAAUACGUG
rnacentral:rRNA from 1 species